CCAGACUCCUACGGGAGGCAGCAGUGGGGAAUAUUGGGCAAUGGGCGCAAGCCUGACCCAGCAAUGCCGCGUGAAGGAAGAAGGCUUUCGGGUUGUAAACUUCUUUUACAGGGGAAGAGCAGAAGACGGUACCCUGAAAACAAGCCCCGGCUAACUACGUGCCAGCAGCCGCGGUAAUACGUAGGGGGCAAGCGUUAUCCGGAAUUACUGGGUGUAAAGGGAGAGUAGGCGGCAAGGUAAGCGAUAUGUGAAAGCCUUAGGCUUAACCUGAGGAUUGCAUAACGAACUAUCUAGCUAGAGUACAGGAGAGGAAAGCGGAAUUCCUAGUGUAGCGGUGAAAUGCGUAGAUAUUAGGAAGAACACCAGUGGCGAAGGCGGCUUUCUGGACUGAAACUGACGCUGAGGCUCGAAAGCGUGGGGAGCGAACAGGAUUAGAUACCCGAGUAC
rnacentral:rRNA from 1 species